rnacentral:rRNA from 1 species
AGCGAACGCUGGCGGCAGGCCUAACACAUGCAAGUCGAACGAAGUCUUCGGACUUAGUGGCGGACGGGUGAGUAACACGUGGGAACGUACCUUUUGGUUCGGAACAACUCAGGGAAACUUGAGCUAAUACCGGAUGAGCCCUUAGGGGGAAAGAUUUAUCGCCGAAAGAGCGGCCCGCGUUAGAUUAGCUAGUUGGUGAGGUAAAGGCUCACCAAGGCUACGAUCUAUAGCUGGUCUGAGAGGAUGAUCAGCCACGCUGGGACUGAGACACGGCCCAGACUCCUACGGGAGGCAGCAGUGGGGAAUCUUGCGCAAUGGGCGAAAGCCUGACGCAGCCAUGCCGCGUGAAUGAUGAAGGUCUUAGGAUUGUAGAAUUCUUUUACCAGGGACGAUAAUGACGGUACUUGGAGAAAAAGCCCCGGCUAACUUCGUGCCAGCCGCCGCGGUAACAC